GGCAGCAGUGGGGAAUUUUUGUCAAUGGGGGAAACCCUGAACAAGCAACGCCGCGUGAAGGACGAAGACCUUCGGGUUGUAAACUUCUGUCGGAGGGGACGAAGGCGGUAUUGGUUAAUACCCAGUAUCGUUGACGGUACCCUACGAGGAAGCCCCGGCUAACUCCGUGCCAGCAGCCGCGGUAAUACGGGGGGGGCAAGCGUUGUUCGGAAUUACUGGGCGUAAAGGGCGCGCAGGCGGGCGAGACAGUCUUUCGUGAAAUCCCACGGCUCAACCGUGGAACUGCGGGAGAUACUACUCGUCUUGAGUUCGGGAGAGGAGUGUGGAAUUCCCAGUGUAGCGGUGAAAUGCGUAGAUAUUGGGAGGAACACCGGUGGCGAAGGCGGCACUCUGGACCGAUACUGACGCUGAGGCGCGAAAGCUAGGGGAGCAAACGGGAUUAGAUACCCCGGUAGUCCUGGCUGUAAACGCUGAGCACUUGGUGUAGCGGGUAUCGACCCCUGCUGUGCCGAAGCUAACGCAUUAAGUGCUCCGCCUGGGGAGUACGGUCGCAAGGCUGAAACUCACAGGAAUUGACGG
rnacentral:rRNA from 1 species